rnacentral:rRNA from 1 species
UUACGGGAGGCAGCAGUGAGGAAUUUUGCGCAAUGGGGGAAACCCUGACGCAGCAACGCCGCGUGGGUGAUGAAGGCCUUCGGGUCGUAAAGCCCUGUCGGGUGGGAAGAAAGGGGAAGAGGGAAACACCCUCUUUUCGUGACGGUACCACCAGAGGAAGCACCGGCUAACUCCGUGCCAGCAGCCGCGGUAAUACGGAGGGUGCAAGCGUUAUUCGGAAUUACUGGGCGUAAAGCGCGUGCAGGCGGGUGAGGCGGGUCUGAUGUGAAAGCCCGGGGCUUAACCCCGGAAGUGCAUUGGAAACUGCCCAUCUUGAGUUCCGGAGAGGAAGGGGGAAUUCCCGGUGUAGAGGUGAAAUUCGUAGAGAUCGGGAGGAAUACCAGUGGCGAAGGCGCCCUUCUGGACGGCAACUGACGCUGAGACGCGAAAGCGUGGGGAGCAAACAGGAUUAGAUACCCGGGUAGUCCU